CCUGAGAAACCCAAAAGAUCGAAUGGGGAGAUUCAUCGUCAACCUCUUUGGCUUACGUGUGGGUGCGAUGAUCGGGACCUCGGUCUCGCGUCACGCGCUCGCUGCGGCAUGUCCGGAGGGGUCGGCGUGCACUUCUCCCCUAGUAGGACGUCGCGACCCGUUGGGUGCUUGUCUACGGUCCGGUUGGUCGACUGGCGAGUCACGUGCAAACGCGAUCUCGCCAGACCACUGGUUUGCCCGAUUGGCUGCCCGACGGUAUUGAACGAUAAUUAACAUGGUAUUGGGCCGCACAAAGUGCGUUCAGGCCCGUCGUCAGGCUCGUCUCGCUCGGAUUUUCGAACCUGGUUUCGUUGUCGAGUGCUUGACGUGGCUGUUGGGCGACGGUGUCCUCGGACUGGCUCUAAAUAUUCGAACGGAUAUACCUGUCGGCGACGCUACUGCUUUGGGUACUUUCAGGAC
rnacentral:rRNA from 1 species